GAUGAACGCUGGCGGCGUGCCUAAUACAUGCAAGUCGAGCGAACGGACGAGAAGCUUGCUUCUCUGAUGUUAGCGGCGGACGGGUGAGUAACACGUGGAUAACCUACCUAUAAGACUGGGAUAACUUCGGGAAACCGGAGCUAAUACCGGAUAAUAUUUUGAACCGCAUGGUUCAAAAGUGAAAGACGGUCUUGCUGUCACUUAUAGAUGGAUCCGCGCUGCAUUAGCUAGUUGGUAAGGUAACGGCUUACCCCGGCAACGAUGCAUAGCCGACCUGAGAGGGUGAUCGGCCACACUGGAACUGAGACACGGUCCAGACUCCUACGGGAGGCAGCAGUAGGGAAUCUUCCGCAAUGGGCGAAAGCCUGACGGAGCAACGCCGCGUGAGUGAUGAAGGUCUUCGGAUCGUAAAACUCUGUUAUUAGGGAAGAACAUAUGUGUAAGUAACUGUGCACAUCUUGACGGUACCUAAUCAGAAAGCCACGGCUAACUACGGG
rnacentral:rRNA from 1 species